AGUUUUGGAAAAGAAGCUGUUGAUAUAGGAUGAAGAUAGGGAACUUUUUCAUUUUUGUGUAUUUGUGGGGAAAAGUCUAUUAAUAGUUAUAUCUUGUGAAUCUUACUCAACUUAGUAAGAGUUACAUGUAGGUGGAAGUUUUUUCUCUCUCCCCUUUUUCUGUUUGAUAUUCACCAUCCCUCUCCGCCGCCCCCAUCUCUACAUCAUUUGUUUCCUAUUCAGUGGGAAAGGCAAACAUUCCUUGCUUGUGAUUUGCUUACUUGCUGAGGUUUUUAGUUGAAAGUACACAGUUUCCUCAUCAUUGGUGUUGAAGAAGACGUGCUAAAUUAAGAGCAAAGGCAAUCUAGUAAUGUAUUUCUAAAAGGGCCUUAUCACAAGCAGAGUAUGAAGAAACAACUUAUUUAUACUAUUACUGCCAGCAUCUAGAAUCUGCUGAUGUGCUUCUCCAAAUAUGGAUAUUCCAUGGAGCCAUCAUGGAUAAAAGCUUGAUGAUCUGUCCUCAGUAAAUCUGGCUUGUCUUUUUAAUUCUGUUUCAGAAAGUAGUUAUUUUUGAUCCACGUGACAAUAGUUUCCCUAUGUUGUUGGGAGAAUUGGUUGAGAGUGCACCUGGGUGCAUAUGGACUCUUUUUCCUAUCAGGCAGGAGAGCAUAACUUUUGAGGUAAAGUACUUCUCCCAGGACAAGACAGAAUGGUAGGAUUUUUGUCUUUCCCGAGGAAAUGAAAGAGGACUGAGGAAGUUGAGCUCCACAGAACUGUUUUGUCGUCUGAUUCCAAAGCCAGCUAUAUAAUGCUGCUGUGGCUCAUGCCCUGAGAUGGCCAAAACAGGCACCGAUGAACCUCAGUUAUCACAAGAAACAGACUGUGGGGAGCCCACUUCACAGAUCAAAAAUGAAUGGUCAGUGGCAAAGGCAGAGUCUCAGAACACAGUGAAAAUUGAAGUAAUUUGCACAGAUGAUGGCGAAAGUUCUACGCACAGCACUGCUGAGGAGCCAGCCCGCAAACGCAAAAAGGGACCUGCCCCCAAGAUGUUGGGGGACGAAGUCUGCAGCGUAUGUGGGGACAAGGCCUCGGGUUUUCACUAUAAUGUCCUGAGUUGUGAGGGUUGUAAGGGCUUCUUCCGGCGCAGCCUCAUCAAAGGAGCUCAGUAUACCUGCAAAGGCAGUGGCCAGUGCCACAUGGACAUGUACAUGCGCCGGAAGUGCCAGGAAUGCCGGUUGAAAAAAUGCCGACAAGCAGGCAUGCGGGAAGAAUGUGUCCUUUCAGAAGAGCAAAUCCGCAAGAAGAAAAUCUCUAAGCACGAGAGUGAUGGGGUUCCAGCUGGGGAGAGAGAUGGAGGCGAAGUACUUCGAGUACCUCCAUUGCUCUGUGAUCCUGCUUUAUCUCAGCCUGAGCCGGUUCCUCUUACCCCACAGCAGGAGGGCAUGAUCCAACAGUUGGUGGCGGCCCAACAGCAGUGUAACAAGAGGAGCUUUAGUGAUCAGCCCAAAGUCACACCCUGGCCAAUGAGCAGUGACCCCAACAGCCGGGAGGCUCGCCAGCAGCGCUUUGCCCAUUUUACAGAAUUAGCCAUCAUCUCAGUGCAAGAGAUCGUAGACUUUGCCAAGCAAGUACCCGGCUUCCUGCAGCUCUCACGGGAAGACCAAAUCGCACUGCUAAAGGCUUCUACCAUUGAGAUCAUGUUAUUAGAGACAGCCCGGCGCUAUAAUCAUGAGACUCAGUGCAUUACAUUUCUUAAAGAUUUUACUUACAGCAAGGAUGACUUUCAUCGUGCAGGUCUUCAGGUAGAAUUCAUCAACCCCAUAUUUGAGUUUUCUCGGGCCAUGCGAGAGUUGCAGCUGGAUGAUGCCGAAUAUGCCCUCCUCAUUGCGAUCAACAUCUUCUCUGCUGACAGGCCGAAUGUACAGGACCAUGGCCUGGUAGAGGCUUUGCAGCAGCCCUAUAUUGAGGCCCUUAGUUCUUACAUCCACCUCAAUCGUCCACAGGACCACCUGAUGUUCCCCCGCAUGCUGAUGAAGCUGGUGAGCCUGCGGACAUUGAGCAGCGUGCACUCAGAGCAGGUCUUUGCUUUGCGCCUUCAAGAUAAGAAGCUUCCGCCACUUCUGUCUGAGAUCUGGGACGUCCAUGAAUAGACCUUUUGAACGGACUGGGGAAGAGGCAGACCUCUCCCAGCAGCACCAGCAGGCAUGCUUCCCCAUAGCGAGUCUUUGGAUUCAGCAUAAGCCUUACAAUGGCUCGACUGGGAUCCUGCCAAAGGAAUUGCGUCAAGAAACCUGCCACGUUUCUUCCUGCUGCUGAAAUUCAGUAGGAAAUCACCAAGAGACAAUGGGCUGAUUUCUUUCAAAAUGAGAACUGUAACAGGUAUGAUAUGUCUCCAGACCCACUUAGCAAACCUACUGAAGGCCGCUAGAUGGGAAAACUGUCUCCACUCCUUCCAGGGAUGUCGCCAUAUCCCUAUUAAUGUUUUCUUCCUGGAAAAACAUUUAUUUAGAAAAACAGCAAAAGCUUUUCUCCACAUCCUAGCAGGAGAGUACUCCAUAGUCAGAACCCUUUUGAAGCGAGGCAUUGGCACAAGUUUGCUUAUGUAAUUAAUUUCUGAGGCUGCCCACUUGCCAAUAAUUCUGGGCGACUUCCAAGGAGUUAAGAAAAAUCAAUUCAAAAGUUAGUUGCCUGCCUAAAAACCAGCAGGUUUGGGGCCACACACAUUUCAAGAGAGGAAUCCCUAUCCAAAGUACAGUCCAAUGUUCAAAAUAACCAGACCCAAUAUUUUUCAUUGGAGGCAAUCAAACUAAUCCAUUAAAAUAGAUUUCCCAAAAAAUAUUUCAAUGUUUCUAUUUACUGAGCCAUUAUACUUGUGACAGAACAAGAAUCCUAAAAUUGGAAGGAAGUCCAAGCCUCUGCCCAGAGCAGGAAUACUCAGACAUCUUAAACCAGGGCUCCCCAAACUUGGCAACU